UACGUAGGGUGCAAGCGUUGUCCGGAAUUAUUGGGCGUAAAGAGCGUGUAGGCGGCCCGAUUAGUCCGCUGUGAAAGUCCAGGGCUCAACCCUGGAAUGCCGGUGGAUACUGUCGGGCUAGAGUCCGGAAGGGGCGAGUGGAAUUCCUGGUGUAGCGGUGAAAUGCGCAGAUAUCAGGAGGAACACCGGUGGCGAAGGCGGGUCUCUGGGCCGAAAUUGACGCUGAGGAGCGAAAGCGUGGGGAGCAAACAGG
rnacentral:rRNA from 1 species